AGCUCUAGAUGCAUUGUACAGUUAAAAUGUGCUAAAUUAAUGUGUCCAAUCAUAAUUACGUCACUAAUUAGUUUAUCAAUAGCGUCACUUCUGAAAGCUCAGCUGUACUUGGACUCAGGAAGUUGGGAGCAUGAUCGGCUGUGUCCGUAGGUAGGCUGACUCUAGUGGAGGGUGGAGCAGUUCGUAGUCCUGGACCAGCCGUCUCAAUAUCUGCUCUGUUGGCAAACCUCACAUGUCUUGUUCUGCUAUGAAAACUGUAGCACAUGUAGCCAAAAACUACCAAUGGGAAACACGAUAGAAGAGGAGAUAUGACUGUCUGUGUUAUCACGACAGGCGUAACAGGAAAGAUAGUACAAUGAAAGCACCGCAGGUGCUGAUGCCUCGGUGGAGGUGCCAAAGCUACAUAACAUAAAACUACUAAUAGCUAGCUUUUAUAUUAUACACACAUUGAUUAUAAUUAUCAUGAUGAAUUUUGCUGCAUGCAAUCAACCGAAUAGAGUGGGUAAUGAUCGACCAUGAUUGUUGUUAAAAACGAUCGAUGCCAAAAGUUCAAGUCUAAAAUUAAUGGCUGAAAGUCAGCAGAGCCUUGCAGCUCUCUGCUCACUCUUGCAGCUACCAAUAGCUAGCGUUCUAAUGCAGAGCUAACUACUAAGUAGAGUAGUAACACUCGGUGAAUAAGUUUUGCUACGGACUCUUCUGAAAAGGCUGCAAUAGCAUUCCAAGUAAGCAAAACUAGGCAUAACUUGAGAACGAAGCAUUAUUUUGCAAAUCCACGAAUUAAAAUCCAAGUAAACAUGACUAGAAGCCUAUAGAAACUCUUACUUGCACUUGAUUCAUCCUUGAGCAGCUGUAGCGGUCUACACAGACACACACACAGACACACAAACACACUACCGUAUACCUCGCUUGCGCAUGCGCACCGAGGCAUAAAUAUCCAUUCCCAACACAAACAGAGUAAAAAAAAAUAGAGCAAAAAAUAUUCCUAUUUCUUUCAGUACAUCUCUUCUCCGUGCAAUUUGCCUUCUCCAUAGAGUACAAAACCAUAUAGUUAAAACAACAUUUCCUAUGAAGCUUAUUAGUACUAGUACAGGUGGUAUGACUAAAAUAAUCAUUUGCUGAGUGAGGUACAGAGCGAAGUUUGUCAGCACACUAAACACCAACCCGACAAGCAAUGUUAUCAUGACAAAUAUAAAUUCCAAUAGAAAACGCGAUCGAUCACUACAAGGACGCCUUCUUGAGAAACUUACUAGGGUAAAGUAGAUAGAGCAGACCAGUAUAGCCGUAAUCCACAGUAAACCGCUCUUUGCCACACUGAAGUACACACGUCUAACUUGGUAACAAAAGUGGAACAUUGACUCAUCUCGUUUGAAUGCUGGAAUGCUCCAAAGCCAUAAUGCUCCAAGCUGUAGUGUAGUGAUGACAGUCAUGUAGACUAUCCUUCUUACUAGAAAGUUAGUCUUCCUUCGACAGAUAAACACAAUGUUUAAGACCAUCCCAACAAAACUCAAUGGAAACACCACUGAGAGAACUGCUGCUUGAGCAAUGUAGACAUCUGGCAGGGUUGUGUUGAUAUUUGUAGAAUAUGGAUACCACGAAUCAGGAUCAGGAUCAAGAUAGCUGCAGUCCAUUCUCACAAACUUUCAAAUCAGCUUAGCAGUGUAGAUGUGAUUUUGAUAUCAGUCCAUCAGGCGCCUUGCUAAUUAGAUUCAUAAACGCAUGGGCGAAACACAGGAAGUUCUUAGCAACAGAGAAUCAAUGUAAAGCACAGCAAAACAAAACAAAAAUACACAGCCAAUAAUACACAGGGCGUUUCAUGCCUGUUACGGGCCCGUUACAGCCCAAAAUCCACGUGGUGUAUUCAACUGUUUGGUUAGAUACUGCAUAGCAGCCGGCUGUCUGUAAUCAGUGGACUGGAUAGCCUCGAUCCCAGGCCGAGUUUUCGCUUUUAUAACGGUUAGGCGAACAACUGGGCCUGGUACUAGUUGUCUGCGCAUGCGUCAGUCGUUCGUCAGAUUCUGACGAAUGGAUAUUCUCGUUCACUUUCGUGACAUUUAUAUUCGUGUACUAUCGUGUACUAGAAGUCAGUUCCCGUUUUAUCAUUAUUGGAAUCGAUUGGAAUGGCUCUUAGCUGAAGCUUCUCUCUUCUCUGAAGCUUAUUCUGAAGACUGAACAACAAGGGAAGAGGUAUAAAGCUUUGUCAAGCUUGUUAAGGAUCUAGGAGCAAUGGCUAAUAUCCAGCUAUCCCAACAGUGCUCCUCUUGGCUAUACUAACGGACGAGACUGGACAGUUUGAGGACUGGAGUAUGACCUGCUCAUUCGAGCGUUGCUGGGUAGCUCAGAGACAUCAAGAGAAUCUACGUUUUCUCAAGCAAAAUUUAACUGAGUUACGAGUUGGGGCCUAGAAUCACAGAAGUCCAGCAGCCUGCUAAAUCUUUUUGAAACGUAAUUUGAAGGCAUUCAAUCAUCCUGAAGUUUCCCUGGGUCACUGUAAUUGUGCUGCAGCACAACUGGCAACUCCCCAGGCCUUUGUGAAGCAGCUCCCUAUGUGCAUCUUUUGUGUACUCACUCUGUGCAUUUUCUGUGUACAAAUUUCGAUUAUUGAUUUAUUAAAUAUUUUUGCCAACCACAAA